UGUGCUCAGUGUGAACCUGCUUUCAUCUGUGAAGAGCACAGGGCGCCAGUGGCGAAUUUGCCAAUCUUGGUGUUCUCUGGCAAAUGCCAGACGUCCUGCACGUGUUGGGCUGUUACACAGGGACUGGGAGAAGAACCUAAGGGAACUCUACUCGGACAAACCCCAUCCGGGAUUCUGCAGCCCAUUUUGCAUGACUAUGGAAGGGUUCUUUGAUUGACAAUCUCUCUCACACUACCAUAAUUCCAAUGAAAUAAGUAGUGCAGGAUAUGAGGGGGUGUAAUGGAUGAAAACCAGUGUGGGGAUGUGGACUACUUACUACAGGAUGAAGAUUCACUCAUAGAAGGGGUCAGCAACCCAGUCCUCAUCGUGGUAGUUCUGAGUUGCUUUUUUGAUUGGACUUCUAUCACUGCUCUACAGAGACGAUCAACUAAACAUCCACCCAGAGAACCAGGAGCAUGUGCGUGCUGUUCGGUAGCAGCUUCUGCCACCUCCUCUAUGGUUCCUGUAUAAUUGCGUAUUGGAGGCGUGGGACUUGGUGUGGUGCUAUUAACUGUCCCAUCUGUUGACAAAUGGUGACAUUUUUUUCUGCUCUUUCAAUAACACGCCUCACUGCAGCAGGUCCAGGAUGGGCAGACUGAGCCGAUACGAUACUCAUCUUGCAGGAUCUCGUUUCUGUUCUUAGAAAUACUAAAACUAGCAUUCCUGCAAGAUUAUUUUGUUUAAAUGUAAUUUAAUCUCUGAGAAAUUAAGCUAAUUGAUUUCAACCCAAUUGGCCAUUUUAAUGUACAGGAUUCAUUUAAUAUUCAACAAAUAUAGUACCUAACAUCCGAUUUGGACAAAACUUUUUUUCUAACAAUGAGUUGGGUGCAAUCAAUUAGCUGCAUUUCUCAGAGAUCACAUUAUAUUUCAACAAAAUAAUGAUUCCAGAAUGCCUAUUUUAUCUGUUUCUAAAUACAGAAACUAUUUCAGAACAAUCAGAUGGUGGGUGUCAUGGCUUGCAGAAAUGACAUGGAAUGACCUGGAAGCAAUAUCUAAAUGACAUACUGUCACGCCCUGGUCUUAGUAUUUUGUGUUUUCUUUAUUAUUUUGGUCAGGCCAGGGUGUGACAUGGGUUAAUUAUGUGGUGUGUUUUUGUCUUGUUUUUUUUGUAGGUAUUAGGAUUGUGGUAUAGUGGGGUUAUCUAGAAAAGUCUAUGGUUGCCUGAAGUGGUUCUCAAUCAGAGGCAGGUGUUUAUCGUUGUCUCUGAUUGGGAACCAUAUUUAGGCAGCCAUAUUCUUUGAGUGUUUCGUGGGUGAUUGUUCCUGUCUCAGUGUUUGUUUUCACCAGAUAAGGCUGUUUAGGUUUUCACGUUAUGUUUAUUGUUUGUAUUGUUCGUGUUUAUCUUUUUAUUAAACAUGAAUCGAAAUGACCACGCUGCAUUUUGGUCCGAUCCCUGCUACACCUCCUCUUCAGAGGAGGAGGAGAAAGAGAACCUUAACACAUAUGUCAUAUCAUGUUGAUUGACUAUCUGUAUGGAUUAUUAUUACAGCUGUGGUAAUUGGGUAACUGAUAAGGGAAUUAUAUGCUUAAAGGUAAUGAUUCAAAUAUUCCACCC
ensembl:lncRNA